AUUGAACGCUGGCGGCAGGCCUAACACAUGCAAGUCGAGCGGAUGAAGGGAGCUUGCUCCUGGAUUCAGCGGCGGACGGGUGAGUAAUGCCUAGGAAUCUGCCUGGUAGUGGGGGAUAACGUCCGGAAACGGGCGCUAAUACCGCAUACGUCCUGAGGGUGAAAGUGGGGGAUCUUCGGACCUCACGCUAUCAGAUGAGCCUAGGUCGGAUUAGCUAGUUGGUGGGGUAAAGGCCUACCAAGGCGACGAUCCGUAACUGGUCUGAGAGGAUGAUCAGUCACACUGGAACUGAGACACGGUCCAGACUCCUACGGGAGGCAGCAGUGGGGAAUAUUGGACAAUGGGCGAAAGCCUGAUCCAGCCAUGCCGCGUGUGUGAAGAAGGUCUUCGGAUUGUAAAGCACUUUAGGUUGGGAGGAAGGGCAGUAAGUUAAUACCUUGCUGUUUUGACGUUACCAACAGAAUAAGCACCGGCUAACUUCGUG
rnacentral:rRNA from 1 species